rnacentral:rRNA from 1 species
CCUACGGGGGGCAGCAGUGAGGAAUAUUGGUCAAUGGGCGCGAGCCUGAACCAGCCAAGUAGCGUGAAGGAUGACUGCCCUACGGGUUGUAAACUUCUUUUAUAAAGGGAUAAAGUGAGGCACGUGUGCCUUUUUGUAUGUACUUUAUGAAUAAGGAUCGCCUAACUCCGUGCCAGCAGCCGCGGUAAUACGGAGGAUCCGAGCGUUAUCCGGAUUUAUUGGGUUUAAAGGGAGCGUCGAUGGGUUGUUAAGUCAGUUGUGAAAGUUUGCGGCUCAACCGUAAAAUUGCAAUUGAUACUGGCAGCCUUGAGUACAGUUGAGGUAGGUGGAAUUCGUGGUGUAGCGGUGAAAUGCGUAGAGAUCACGAAGAACUCCGAUUGCGAAGGCAGCUUACUAAACUGCCACUGACAUUGAGGCUCGAAAGUGUGGGUAUCAAACAGGAUUAGAUACCCGAGUAGUC